rnacentral:rRNA from 1 species
CAGGCUUAACACAUGCAAGUCGAGGGGCAGCAUGGUCUUAGCUUGCUAAGGCCGAUGGCGACCGGCGCACGGGUGAGUAACACGUAUCCAACCUGCCGUCUACUCUUGGACAGCCUUCUGAAAGGAAGAUUAAUACAAGAUGGCAUCAUGAGUCCGCAUGUUCACAUGAUUAAAGGUAUUCCGGUAGACGAUGGGGAUGCGUUCCAUUAGAUAGUAGGCGGGGUAACGGCCCACCUAGUCUUCGAUGGAUAGGGGUUCUGAGAGGAAGGUCCCCCACAUUGGAACUGAGACACGGUCCAAACUCCUACGGGAGGCAGCAGUGAGGAAUAUUGGUCAAUGGGCGAGAGCCUGAACCAGCCAAGUAGCGUGAAGGAUGACUGCCCUAUGGGUUGUAAACUUCUUUUAUAAAGGAAUAAAGUCGGGUAUGGAUACCCGUUUGCAUGUACUUUAUGAAUAAGGAUCGGCUAACUCCGUGCCAGCAGCCGCGGUAAUACGGAGGAUCCGAGCGUUAUCCGGAUUUAUUGGGUUUAAAGGGAGCGUAGAUGGAUGUUUAAGUCAGUUGUGAAAGUUUGCGGCUCAACCGUAAAAUUGCAGUUGAUACUGGAUAUCUUGAGUGCAGUUGAGGCAGGCGGAAUUCGUGGUGUAGCGGUGAAAUGCUUAGAUAUCACGAAGAACUCCGAUUGCGAAGGCAGCCUGCUAAGCUGCAACUGACAUUGAGGCUCGAAAGUGUGGGUAUCAAACAGGAUUAGAUACCCUGGUAGUCCACACGGUAAACGAUGAAUACUCGCUGUUUGCGAUAUACUGCAAGCGGCCAAGCGAAAGCGUUAAGUAUUCCACCUGGGGAGUACGCCGGCAACGGUGAAACUCAAAGGAAUUGACGGGGGCCCGCACAAGCGGAGGAACAUGUGGUUUAAUUCGAUGAUACGCGAGGAACCUUACCCGGGCUUAAAUUGCAGAUGAAUUACGGUGAAAGCCGUAAGCCGCAAGGCAUCUGUGAAGGUGCUGCAUGGUUGUCGUCAGCUCGUGCCGUGAGGUGUCGGCUUAAGUGCCAUAACGAGCGCAACCCUUGUUGUCAGUUACUAACAGGUUCCGCUGAGGACUCUGACAAGACUGCCAUCGUAAGAUGUGAGGAAGGUGGGGAUGACGUCAAAUCAGCACGGCCCUUACGUCCGGGGCUACACACGUGUUACAAUGGGGGGUACAGAGGGCCGCUACCACGCGAGUGGAUGCCAAUCCCCAAAACCUCUCUCAGUUCGGACUGGAGUCUGCAACCCGACUCCACGAAGCUGGACUCGCUAGUAAUCGCGCAUCAGCCACGGCGCGGUGAAUACGUUCCCGGGCCUUGUACACACCGCCCGUCAAGCCAUGGGAGCCGGGGGUACCUGAAGUGCGUAACCGCGAGGAGCGCCCUAGGGUAAAACUGGUGACUGGGGCUAAGUCGU